rnacentral:misc_RNA from 1 species
UUAAGUUCAGCGGGUAUCCCUACCUGAUCCGAGGUCAAACUUAGAAAGUUGGGGGUUGCUGGCCAGCAUCCACCUGGAACUCAAGAGCGAGGAGUAUUACUACGCUUAGAGCCAGAUGGCGCCGCCACUGAUUUUAAAGCCCGCGGUUUCCCGCUGGGCUCAAGACAAGCUGAGCUUGAGUGUUGUACUGACGCUCGAAC